CUCGUAGGCGGUUUGUCGCGUUGUUCGUGAAGACUCACAGCUUAACUGUGGGCGUGCGGGCGAUACGGGCAGACUAGAGUACUGCAGGGGAGACUGGAAUUCCUGGUGUAGCGGUGGAAUGCGCAGAUAUCAGGAGGAACACCGGUGGCGAAGGCGGGUCUCUGGGCAGUAACUGACGCUGAGGAGCGAAAGCGUGGGGAGCGAACA
rnacentral:rRNA from 1 species